AUGGGGCGCAGCAGGGGCGAAACCUUCGCAAUGGGCAAAAGCCCGACGAGGCCACUCCGAGUGCCAUCCGCUGAGGAUGGCUUUUCCUAGCUGUAAAUAGGCUAGAGAAUAAGGGGAGGGCAAGUCUGGUGUCAGCCGCCGCGGUAAUACCAGCUCCCCGAGUGGUCGGGACGAUUAUUGGGCCUAAAGCAUCCGUAGCCGGCCCGGUAAGUCUUCUGUUAAAUCCAACGGCUCAACCGUUGGGCUGCAGGGGAUACUGCCGGGCUAGGAGGCGGGAGAGACCGACGGUAUUCCAGGGGUAGGGGUAAAAUCUUCUGAUCCUUGGAGGACCACCAGUGGCGAAGGCGGUCGGUCAGAACGCGCUUGACGGUGAGGGAUGAAAGCUGGGGGAGCGAACCGGAUUAGAUACCCGGGUAAUCCCAGCCGUAAACGAUGCGGGCUAGGUGAUGGAAUGGCUACGGGCCAUUCCAGUGCCACAGGGAAGCCGUUAAGCCCGCCGCCUGGGGAGUACGGCCGCAAGGCUGAAACUUAAAGGAAUUGGCGGGGGAGCAGCUGCAU
rnacentral:rRNA from 1 species